rnacentral:rRNA from 1 species
UGGGGAAUAUUGCGCAAUGGGGGCAACCCUGACGCAGCAACGCCGCGUGAAGGAUGAAGGUUUUCGGAUUGUAAACUUCUUUUGUCAAGGACGAAGAAAGUGACGGUACUUGACGAAUAAGCCACGGCUAACUACGUGCCAGCAGCCGCGGUAAUACGUAGGUGGCAAGCGUUGUCCGGAUUUACUGGGUGUAAAGGGCGAGUAGGCGGGUUUGCAAGUCAGAUGUGAAAUACCGGGGCUUAACCCCGGGGCUGCAUUUGAAACUGUAGAUCUUGAGUGAUGGAGAGGCAGGCGGAAUUCCCGGUGUAGCGAUGGAAUGCGUAGAAUAUCGGGAGGAACACCAGUGGCGAAGGCGGCCUGCUGGACAUUAACUGACGCUGAGGAGCGAAAGCGUGGGGAGCAAACAGGAUUAGAUACC